ensembl:snRNA U6 U6 spliceosomal RNA
UUGCUCACUUAGGCAGCACAUAUACUAAAAUUGGAAUGAUACAGAGAAGACUAGCAUGGCCUCUUUGCAAGGAUUACACGCAAAUUUGUGAAGCAUUUCUUAUUUUA